GGGCUAAUGGUCUAAGGGUUAUGAUUUCCGCUUAGGGUGCGGGAGGUUCCCGGUUCGAGUCCGGGUUAGCCCC